AGGGCUUGACAUGCAGGGUGAAACCGUGGAAACACGGUGCUCUUCGGAGCCUGCACAGGUGGUGCAUGGCCGUCGUCAGCUCGUGCCGUGAGGUGUUGCCUUAAGUGGCGCAACGAGCGCAACCCCUGUCUCAUGUUGCCAGCGAGUUAUGUCGGGGACUCAUGAGAGACUGCCGGUGCCAAACCGGAGGAAGGUGGGGAUGACGUGUUCGGAUUCUAAG
rnacentral:misc_RNA from 1 species